UAUACCUGGGCCCGCCGCUGGGCACGG
rnacentral:sRNA from 1 species